rnacentral:rRNA from 1 species
CCUACGGGAGGCAGCAGUGAGGAAUAUUGGUCAAUGGACGAGAGUCUGAACCAGCCAAGUAGCGUGAAGGAUGACUGCCCUAUGGGUUGUAAACUUCUUUUAUAUGGGAAUAAAACGUUCCACGUGUGGGAUUUUGUAUGUACCAUAUGAAUAAGGAUCGGCUAACUCCGUGCCAGCAGCCGCGGUAAUACGGAGGAUCCGAGCGUUAUCCGGAUUUAUUGGGUUUAAAGGGAGCGUAGGUGGAUUGUUAAGUCAGUUGUGAAAGUUUGCGGCUCAACCGUAAAAUUGCAGUUGAUACUGGCAGUCUUGAGUACAGUAGAGGUGGGCGGAAUUCGUGGUGUAGCGGUGAAAUGCUUAGAUAUCACGAAGAACUCCGAUUGCGAAGGCAGUUCACUGGACUGCAACUGACACUGAGGCUCGAAAGUGUGGGUAUCAAACAGGAUUAGAUACCCCAGUAGUC